rnacentral:tRNA from 1 species
UCCCUGGUGGUUCAGGUGAAGUGUCUGCCUGCAAUGCAGGAGAUCCAGGUUCAAUUCCUGGGUUGGGAA